rnacentral:rRNA from 1 species
AACGAACGCUGGCGGCAUGCCUAACACAUGCAAGUCGAACGAGCAGUUCGGGUCUUGUGGCGCACGGGUGCGUAACGCGUGGGGAGCUGCACUUAGGGUUGGACUAACUAUCCGACAGGGGUGCUAACGCCGGACCAUGUCUUCGGCCCAAUGAUCUAUCGCCCUUGAUGGGGCACGCGUUGGAUUAGCUUGUUGGUAGGGUAAAAGACUCAUAAGGGGACGAUCCAUAGCUUGGCUGAGAGGCUGAUCAGCAACUCUUGGACGAGGACACGGCCCAGACUCCUACGCGAGGCAGCAAUGGGGAAUAUUGGACCAUGGGCGGAAGCCUGAUCCAGCAAUGCCGCGUGAGUUAUGAAAGCCUGGGGGUUGUAAAGCGCUUUUACCCGUGAACAUAAUGACAGUACCGGGACAAAAAGCUCCGGCUAACUCCGUG